rnacentral:RNase_P_RNA from 1 species
UGAGCAGGUCUCCUUAUCGCUCUGACGGCUAGCGUCAGUGAGGAAAGUCCGGACACCAUAGCGCAGCGUAGCGGGUAACACCCGUCACCUCAAUGUAAAUUGAGGUAGGACCAGUGCAACAGAAAGAAUGUACAGAUAAUGCUGUAGUGAAAUCAGGUAAACUCUACGCGGUGCAACGCCAUGUAAACCGACAUUUGAGGGCUGCGCGCUCGAGUCGGAGGGUAGGCGGUUAGAUCCUAGCGGUAACGUUAGGACUAGAUAAAUGAUAAGGGCUUAGUUUACUAAGUUACAGAAUCCGGCUUAUGACCUGCUUUUUUU